UACGGAGGGUGCAAGCGUUGUCCGGAUUUAUUGGGUUUAAAGGGUGCGUAGGUGGCCUUAUAAGUCAGCGGUGAAAGUCUGCAGCUUAACUGUAGAACUGCCAUUGAUACUGUAAGGCUUGAGUACUGAUGGGGUAGGCGGAAUUGAUAGUGUAGCGGUGAAAUGCAUAGAUAUUAUCAAGAACACCGAUUGCGAAGGCAGCUUACUAAGGAGUUACUGACACUGAGGCACGAAAGCGUGGGGAUCAAACAGG
rnacentral:rRNA from 1 species